GGUUCUAUGGUGUAGUUGGUUAGCACUUCGGAUUCUGAUCGCCUCAGAAUCUUCCGGUGACCCCGGUUCGAAUCCGGGUAGGACCU